AGUAAGUUGGCAGAAUAGUGCCACCGACUUAGGAUCGGUUCAUGGGGAUUCCCACUUAUUA
rnacentral:tRNA from 1 species